rnacentral:lncRNA from 1 species
CAGCUUCUUGGUACAGAUGCAGCCUUUCGGGAGCUGUGCCAGAAUGUAGCGAUAAAUACCAGCUCGAGGGGAAAUACAUUUCAUGAUAGAAUUAGGAGAGCAGCCAUCUGAGACGUCCACAGAAACCAGCCCCCUUCCAAGAAGUGCUGGGAUUGGAGAUACGUACCUGCCUUUGUGUUAUUUUGCUGACCUGCUUGCACUCUAACUGGUAAGCUAUUCCCCC